GGUGAGAUAAUGUGAAGUGGUUUGAGCAUUAGACUAUGACUCAAAUGACCCUGGAGACCAGGGUUCGAAUCCCAGCUUGGCCA